UGUGUGCGUUUGUUUGUGUCUGAUUUGAUCUGGUGCCUUUCGAGUCACCCUCCAUCCAGCCAUUGUUGUUUGAGCUUUCUUCUCCGGUUGCUCACUUUGGAGUGUGUUGAAUGGUGUGAAGGAUACUACUGGGUUUGAAGAUGGCCAUCCCCACAGAAUUAUAUCUCAACAAAAUUAGUUUUUUUCUGUGUGUGUGUAUAUAUAUGUAUACAUCUAUGAAU
rnacentral:lncRNA from 1 species